UGGGGAAUAUUGGACAAUGGGCGAAAGCCUGAUCCAGCCAUGCCGCGUGUGUGAAGAAGGUCUUCGGAUUGUAAAGCACUUUAAGUUGGGAGGAAGGGCAGUAAGCGAAUACCUUGCUGUUUUUACGUUACCGACAGAAUAAGCACCGGCUAACUCUGUGCCAGCAGCCGCGGUAAUACAGAGGGUGCAAGCGUUAAUCGGAAUUACUGGGCGUAAAGCGCGCGUAGGUGUUUCGUUAAGUUGCAUGUGAAAGCCCCGGGCUCAACCUGGGAACUGCAUCCAAAACUGGCGAGAUAGAGUAGGGCAGAGGGUGGUGGAAUUUCCUGUGUAGCGGUGAAAUGCGUAGAUAUAGGAAGGAACACCAGUGGCGAAGGCGACCACCUGGGCUCAUACUGACACUGAGGUGCGAAAGCGUGGGGAGCAAACAGG
rnacentral:rRNA from 1 species